rnacentral:rRNA from 1 species
UACGAAGGGGGCUAGCGUUGCUCGGAAUCACUGGGCGUAAAGCGCACGUAGGCGGAUCUUUAAGUCAGGGGUGAAAUCCUGGAGCUCAACUCCAGAACUGCCUUUGAUACUGGGGAUCUCGAGUCCGGAAGAGGUGAGUGGAACUCCGAGUGUAGAGGGUGAAAUUCGUAGAUAUUCGCAAGAACACCAGUGGCGAAGGCGGACUGACUGGUCCGGUUCGUCGACGCCUGGAG